CUUUUCUUUUUUAAUCUAUUUAUGUUGAAAGUAUGACAGUGACUUAUGAUUUGUACUUUGGUGUGAUCAUUUGCAGGUUUGGUAAGAAAAAAACAUAGUCCUUCUGAUAGCCAAUAUUUGCAGAUCAGAUUCGCUCUAUGUGCCAAAGCAUGUGUGCUGGGUCAAACCUCGAAUAUGAUUCUUCAUUUGAUUUGAGCACUGAGCGAAAGAAAGUGAGAGUAUCAUGCAGUUGUUGCUGGCCAGCCCAUGUUCCACUUUCUGGGAGUGCUGAGACGGUAGCAUCCCUAUGAUCCAUGUGAUCAUGGCAGCAGUGGCAAGACAUUCCUAUGGUGGAGAACAAGAUAAGGAUCCAGAUGCUUCGAUCCGUAAAAGGGCCCUCAAGCUUGUUUAUCUUCUAGUAAAUGAAAGCAAUGUGAAGCCUUUGACAAAGGAGCUUGUUGAUUAUCUAGAAGUAAGUG